UACGAAGGGGCUAGCGUUGCUCGGAAUCACUGGGCGUAAAGGGUGCGUAGGCGGGUCUUUAAGUCAGGGUGAAAUCCUGGAGCUCAACUCCAGAACUGCCUUUGAUACUGAGGAUCUUGAGUCGGAGAGGUGAGUGGAACUGCGAGUGUAGAGGUGAAAUUCGUAGAUAUUCGCAAGAACACCAGUGGCGAAGGCGGCUCACUGGCCCGGUACUGACGCUGAGGUGCGAAAGCGUGGGAGCAACAGGGAU
rnacentral:rRNA from 1 species